GAUGAACGCUGGCGGCGUGCCUAAUACACGCAAGUCGAGCGAACGGACGAGAAGCUUGCUUCUCUGAUGUUAGCGGCGGACGGGUGAGUAACACGUGGAUAACCUACCUAUAAGACUGGGAUAACUUCGGGAAACCGUAGCUAAUACCGGAUAAUAUUUUGAACCGCAUGGUUCAAAAGUGAAAGACGGUCUUGCUGUCACUUAUAGAUGGAUCCGCGCUGUAUUAGCUAGUUGGUAAGGUAACGGCUUACCAAGGCAACGAUGCAUAGCCGACCUGAGAGGGUGAUCGGCCACACUGGAACUGAAACACGGUCCAGACUCCUACGGGAGGCAGCAGUAGGGAAUCUUCCGCAAUGGGCGAAAGCCUGACGGAGCAACGCCGCGUGAGUGAUGAAGGUCUUCGGAUCGUAAAACUCUGUUAUUAGGGAAGAACAUAUGUGUAAGUAACUGUGCACAUCUUGACGGUACCUAAUCAGAAAGCCACGGCUAACUACGUG
rnacentral:rRNA from 1 species